UAUUCAUUACUUUAAUUAGGUCAGUUUGUGAUUGUUCCUGUGUCCUGUCACACAUUUGAGGCUGACAUGUACAUGUAUAUGACGAGUGUUCCUUAUCCAAUGGAAAUAAAGGCAGUGGGUCAUAAAGUUGAUGUAGUGAUUUAUUGUCAAACGGAUGAUCCCAUUCUCUUGGACGUUACCCAUAGUAAUGGAACUACAUCUGUUGUUUCAGCUGAAAAGAGAGUCAAUGGAACGAAUGAUACAAUAUAUUAUUUCUCAUUUUAUGGAAGG